rnacentral:ncRNA from 2 species
CUUAAUAACAGACCCAGGGGUGCUCAAGCGCGAGCGAGGGCUUAAAGGGAAGGCAAGCCGGUGAGAAUCCGGCACAGUACCGCCUACUGUGACCCCGAACAAUUUCGGGGAAGUCAGAACGCCAGCCCCUGGAUUUCCUGUAGC